GUGCAAAUGAAGCUCAGAGCCUCCUUUCUCUCACAGCCCAAAUGGUAUUCCAGAGCAAUUGACUCAGAACAAAAGGGUUUUUUGCAUACCAGGUGCAAUGUAGCUUUGAGGCAGGUUUCCUAGCUCUGAGCAGAGGUGCCUCACAGGAU